AGGUGGCAGCAGUGGGGACGUGGGUCCUGGGCUCAGCUGAGAUUGCGGAUGGGGUUUCUUCCCUUCCCUUUCCUUUCCUGAUUUCUUUCUUUUCCUUUUUUUCAAGGGCUUUGCUGCCUAUCAACCCAAGCUCCCUAGAGCGCAUCGUCUCUGUGCUGCAGUGGGAGCCCCUGCUCCAGCUGGGCAUGAGGACAGGAAUGGACCCGGGUGGAGCACAGCCCUGGGUGGGGGCACCCUGCCCUCUAAUCACCCCCCCGAAAAUUGCACUGUAGGGUCCCUCCAGUCAAACCAUCCACCACAACCCUCUCCUCCCCAGCCACAGCGUGGGAGAGCAGCAUCCCCACGGGGCUGCCACCUCCCAGGAGCUGUGUCACGGGGCAGGAGGAUAGGAUGUGGAUACCCCAUCCCAAACUGCAGCUUUGAGACAAGAGGGAUCCAUUUCAGAGCUCUGCUCCCUCGGAGCUCAGCAACCUCCUGGCACAGCGUGGCAGGAGUUAUUCAAAGGCGGGAGGAAGCGAGCACAGCAACUGAAACAACAAUGAAAAGGAAACAGAGCUCGAAAAAUUCUCCGUUCAUAAAUCAACUGAACUGCAGGUGAUCCCUGGGCAGGAGAGAGCUGAGGAAGAGACACGGCUCGGCUCAGCAUGGCCAGCAGCCAGGCAGGCUCCGGCCCCCCAGGAGGGCAUGGGGGAGGCCGGGAUUUCCCAGGGUGGUCCUGAGUGAUGCUGGGGUCAGUGUCCGUGUCCCCGGGGACUUUGAGGCAGGAAAUAGAGCUGCUGGAUUGGGAUGGGCUCCUCAGUGCUGGCAGCAUCUCUGCACGGGCAGGGGAUGGGCAUGG